UUGGCUGAAAGCCGAGAUCACCUGGCCAC
rnacentral:piRNA from 1 species